AAACUGAUGCUGUGAUGUGUAAAUUCAAUUAUCAUAUCACAGCCAGCUUUGAUGAG
rnacentral:pre_miRNA from 1 species